rnacentral:rRNA from 1 species
AAAGAGGAGAAGGAAAGAGUGCAACGUAUAUAAGAAAGGUUGGACAAAAGAGAGGUGAAAUGAAAACCUUACAUUUUUUAAGUAGUAGAGAAAGAGGAGAAGGAAAGAGUGGAACGUAUAUAAGAAAGGUUGGACGAAAGAGAGGUGAAAUGAGAACCUUACGUUCUUUUUAAGUAGUAGAGAUACCACUAUAAAAAUACCAAAGGCCAUAUCUAAUUAAUCUCGGCCGUCAAACCAUGUCAAUCCAACGAUCUAGAUUGUUUCAAUGAUGAGCGUUUAACAUGUUUAACGCGCAAUUAAUACCCUACCAAAUAUCAAUGGCUCUGCUAACCAUAUAAUUAAUGUGUACUAAUUGAUAUCCUACCAGUAGCAAUAUUAGCAUGCAUUGCAAAUACACAUUUACUAGUUAAUUAAAAGGUUCCUAUAAAUACGCCAUGUAGUGUGAAACACUAUUAAGAAAAACAUCAUCCAACCUACUACAAAACGAAAAUUUCCCAAUCUCAUGAGUCACCACAUUGGCUUGACGAUUGAGAAGCUUAGUGAUGCUCAUCGCUGUCUUCUUUAGACAAGAGGGACAUGUCAAAUUUUAAUUUGCAAGAAAAAAAGCACAAAAGCCAGAUAUCAACCAGCCUUCUAGAAGUUUGGUGCCCAGGAGCCUACAAGAAGACCGUUGUCCACUUGCGCAAUUCGGCUAGUCAAAACUCAUGAGCCCAAAAGUUAUUGGUCUUUACCAAAGAUCACCAUCAUGGUGGCGUUGACACUCUGACAAAAGGAUCUACGAAUCUCGGCUCUGGAGAUGGGUCGACAAUUCGAUGGUGGCGGUGGCUUCUGGAGCGUGUGCAUGCGAUGCGGUCAGCUGGGCUGGAUGUGUGCUCCCGGUACGCCAUGCAGGCGACUCUAUGAUGACCUUAGAUAUAACUAGUGGGGCAUUCUAAUGGCAUCCCCAUUGUCGAUUUUGUAGGUGUGACAUGGUGGCUUCGGGUUGUCUGAUAUAUGUUUUUAUUAGUUCUUUGUUGAAUAAUUUAAUAAAGAAGGUUGUGUGCAUCUUUUCAUGCACAAGCCUAGGGUUUUAACCUCUUCAAAAAAGUAAAAUCCAUCGGAAUUUGGUCAAAACCGGUAUCUCAUGAAACUUUCCUCGAAAGCCAAUAUCCUAAGUUAGUACUCGAAAUUUCUGAGUAGAGAAAUUCACGAUGUGCAAAAGCUAAUAGUGUUGUUCGCUCGAGUUUUGGCCAAGUCCAAAAUGCCUUGGGAUUUGGUAAGCUAAGGUUUUUUUUUACCCCAAAACCGUAGAACAAUAGUUUUAUGGUAAUUUUCACUAAUAAUAAAAAUAUAUGUACAAACAGGUAAAUAAAACAUUCACAAAUCAACUACCCAACUCAUGUUUUCUCUAACAUGAUAAAUGUGUUAUCUUAUGAGAACUAUGAAAAGAGGGAGCUCAUCCAUUGCUCUAGGCAGGCAAUGUUCUUUCUUUUAGUUGUACGCUUGACCAGAGACAGAUCUUGAUGUAGUCCAUGCUUCCAGGCUUCCAGACUUGGGAGGGUAUUGUUGAAGAUCUUUCCAUUCAUUUGCAUCCAUAUGUUCCAGCAUCCGAAAAUAACAAUAUCCAUGGCAAUCUAUAGUGGGAAGACUUGCUUGAGGAAGAUAAUGUCAUCAAAAGCAGAUACUCCUCUGUGUCUAUUUGGUGCAAUGAUGUCCCAGCAUGAGAGUGCAAACUCGCAGUCCCAGAGUGAUGUGCCACUGAAGGACCCAUCAUAUGUUUAUACAUCUUGCUGACAGAAAGUAUACCAGACUUCCACUCAAAUGUCCAUAUAUCAGCAGUGUUUCCAAGUUGCUGCACAAUUGAUGUUAGUUCAUUCAGUUGCUGAAAGGCAACUGUGUUAGACUAUAUAUAUACGAGGACUCUUGUAUAUACAUGUAUUUGUACUGUACCCUUUGGUACUCC